UACGAAGGGGCUAGCGUUGCUCGGAAUCACUGGGCGUAAAGGGCGCGUAGGCGGAUCUUUAAGUCAGGGUGAAGCCCAAGGCUCAACCUUGGAAUUGCCUUGAUACUGAGGAUCUCGAGACCGGAAGAGGUAAGUGGAACGUGCGAGUGUAGAGGUGAAAUUCGUAGAUAUUCGCAAGAACACCAGUGGCGAAGGCGGCUUACUGGUCCGGUUCUGACGCUGAGGCGCGAAAGCGUGGGAGCAACAGG
rnacentral:rRNA from 1 species